rnacentral:lncRNA from 1 species
CAUCCUGUUUUUCUGUUCUAAAUAGGUUCCCAUCUAAAUAGGUUCUAUUGAAAGCUAAACUUUCAUAUUUCCCUUCCCAAGUGAUAAUCCAUGUAUAUAUUAAUCAUGGAAGCAAAUUUCAAAAUAUAGCAAUUAAUUUAAAUGUCUUAGCUUUUCAGUAGUGCUCUAAACUCCCGGGGAUAAAUUAUUACUCUAGAACAUUUUGGUAGAGAAAGUAAUCUAGUGGGUGUAAGGAGAGAAACAUCCGGGGCUUCUGAUGUCAUCUGUCAUAAUCCUUUCCCCAGGAGCAGGUCAGGCAGUGGCAGAACUGGGAUUUGAAUCCACAUCUGAAUGACUCCAGAGCCUGUGUUCUUUGUGUUGGGUCAUAGAGGAAUGGGGGAGGUUAUAAUUCUUCCAUUGAGGUUAAUACUUGUUAUAGUCUUCAAGCUCUUAUUUUCUUCUACAGCAUGUCUUGAAAUCAAACAUAACGAAGCUAAUGAAGGCUUCUCAGCAAUCCAAGAGAAACAGUAAUUUAUUUGAAGACUGUCCUCCUGAUGUUAUUCCCUGAUUUGAAAUGACACAUGUUCUCAUGUCCUCUCUCCUGUUUUCACUGUAGUAGAAGCAAAAUGUGGCAUUUGGAGACCAGAGAGUACAACUUUCUCUGAGGACAAUAAUUCUGAUUUUGAACAUUGAGCAACAUUUGAGCAACAUUGAAGAUGUGGUUGAAACAUUUCCCAGACCAUCACCCUGGUUUGAGGGCAUCUGUCAGCCUGCCUUCCCAUCAUCUCAGCCUGUUGCAAAACUUCUCAAGUCUGUAGCAGGCCUUGGUCGUACAAAGCAGAGUAUCUCUGAGAGCCUGCCACAGAAGUAUGUGGAUCAUUUACCUGGAGCUUCUGGUCAAAGAGGAAAAAAGACAUUAAAUGGACAAGUAGAAGGUAAGAACUGUAUUUUACUGAAAAAUCAUUUGACAGAACAUUGAUUGAAAAUGGGAAUGCUGAUACAUUCUACUAGGCAAAGAAAAUCACCUGUCAGAUGGGUAAUGAGAAAAAAGAUGAGAAAAGGAGGGCAAUUAUGUAUCUUAUCAGGUGUCUACCACAGAUUACAUUGAGAAUCCAGUUUAAGGAGCUAAAUUAUUAGUUCUUAGACUUAUCUCGCGGUCCAAUGUUUAAGAGUCCGGAGACACUCCAAUGCAGGGGGUGCAGUUUCGAUCCCUGCUCAGGAAAUUAAGAUUCCAAGUGACACAUGACCAAAAACAAAUUAUGAGUUCUGUUUCAAGAUACUCCACAAGCUAAGGAAGGUCAAGAAAGAAGAGGCAAGAGGGAAUGAAGGAUGAGAGAGACAGAGGGUACAGGGAGGACAUGAAGAAAGGAAGCACAGGUCUGUGCGGGAAGGGAGCAAUAAGUAAUGAAGGUCUUUAGAUAAAGGGAGAGUAUUUGACAUGGACGAUGAAUUUGAAGUGAGCUUCCGGCACCAAAACUUGUCAGAGAACAACAGCAAAGUUCUCCCCUCUUCCUGUUUUACUUGUUAUUAGGAAGACAUUCAGAACUGAGGUCCCUAGGCAUGCAGAGCUGUGUUUUGUCCUUUGUGGAGGAGUGCGGGCAUAGGUGCUCAGCUGUAAAUGUGUGCAAAUUGAUGUCUAAUGAAAUGUCGCUGCUUUCUAGGAUGGUGUCACAUGGGACAAAACAAGAGAACUAGAAAGGAGGAGAGAGCAGGGGGUGUGAUGGGGAGACCAAGGAAACCACAGCCUCCUAGAGAGUCCACUGGAAGGUUUCCAACUUCUAAUGCCAUUUCAGUUUGGGGGAUUGUGUUCACAUGAAGAAACAGAGGCUGAGCUUUCAGGAGAAUGAAUUAAGUUGAAAUCAUAUAGAAGCAGACUCCCGUGUAGACCAGAGUUUCUCAAAUGUUAAUUAGUCGCUUGAGGACCAUGUGUGAAGUGCACAUGCUGAGCAGGAGGUCUGAGAAUCUGCGUUUCUAACAAGCUCUCCGAGUAGCAAGGGUGUAGCCUUGGGUUUAGAGCAGUCUGGAAGAAGAGCAUUGGAUAGUGCAGGACAUAACAGGAUCAAGGAAAAGCAUUAUCUUGUCUUUCUUUCUGAGCGUGUUUGUAGCCAGAGUUUUUAAGCAAACUCUGUUUUUAAGCGUGUUUCAGCAAAAUGUUGAAGUAGCAGUUAUAGGUGGAAGAUAUCAUUGCUAAGCAAAGAGGGAGAAAGAAAUGGUAGGGAUGAUCCAUAGAAAGGAUGCCAAGGGGGAACAUUUAAGUCUACAGAUCCAGAGAUUACCAUUUAGAGAGGAGAAACUCUAGUGAAAGGACAAAGGGAGGAAAGGAAGGCCUUAGGGAGGUGAGUUUGGAGUUGAUGAGGACACUUGAGAGAACUCCUUCUAGAUGACUUCAGUGUAUUUACCCUGAAAAGAGAUAAGAUCAUUAUUGCUCCAGAGAAUCCUGGAGGUGGGAGGGGGUGCUAGAAGUGGGGGAAACCGCAGCCCCUCCGAGUAACUCUUAGGCAUCAAAGAUAUAUGUUGUGCUGGUAUUUGUUAUUCAAAUUAGAUUAAUUUGAAAAAGGAAGCAUUGACUUUUUUUUUAUAUAAAGAUAGCUGAUUCUUUGAAAGUUGUUUCAUAGAAAUUCUUUGAAGCAUUAGCAUGAUGUACCAAACCAAACUAAAUUUUGAAGCCAAACAGAUUAAAAGGAUUUGUUCCCUAAAUGCUAGAAAUACUUUUAAUAAAUACUACACUGAUUUUGAAACAUGCAAGAUUUUUAAUUUCUAAUAAUUCUGUGGCAACUAAAUGUAUGAUUUCUUUUUUGAUAAUUGUAUUUCAAUAUUGAGAAUUUAUUAUACAUUAUUUCCUAGAUGUGUCUUAUAUACCAUCUUGCAUGAGUGGAUCGAGAAACUGAGAUGGCUAAACUAGAGGAGCCAAGACAUGUAGGCAUAGCCCACAUGGAUAUGGGGAAAAAAAUGAAUAUUUUUAUGAGCCAUUUUUCUACAAAUGUAUAUGCAGGCUAAUCAGUUCAUUACUCUGUCUUUGAUGAGAAAUGAAUUAUACAUUCUGGUGAACUGUCAUCCCAACUGUGCACUUGUUAAAAGACUGGACAGAUUGAAG